rnacentral:tmRNA from 1 species
GGGGACGACUUGGCUUCGACGUGGGUCGCGAAACCUGAGGUGCAUGUCGAGAAUGUAGACAAUCUCGUUAAAUUUUCUGCAAACAUAUAGUUGCAAACGACGACAACUACGCAAUCGCUGCUUAAUAACCAGUAGAUUGCUGUCGGACUGGAAACGUGUCUAUGCGCCCAGACCCCGGCAUCGCUUACAUAGAAUCGUGAUGGACACUCGUUUGAGGUGAAAGCAUUAAAUAAGCAUCAAAAUCGUUCUUAGUUUUCCCCGCCUGGUGGGUAGCUAAAAAUUAAACUAAUAACCAGUAUAAGCAUGUAGAGCCAAUGGCAGAGGAUUUGCGGACGCGGGUUCGAUUCCCGCCGUCUCCACCA